GACGAACGCUGGCGGCGUGCUUAACACAUGCAAGUCGAGCGGUAAGGCCUUUCGGGGUACACGAGCGGCGAACGGGUGAGUAACACGUGGGUGAUCUGCCCUGCACUUCGGGAUAAGCCUGGGAAACUGGGUCUAAUACCGGAUAUGACCUCCUAUCGCAUGGUGGGUGGUGGAAAGAUUUAUCGGUGCAGGAUGGGCCCGCGGGCUAUCAGCUUGUUGGUGGGGUAAUGGCCUACCAAGGCGACGACGGGUAGCCGACCUGAGAGGGUGACCGGCCACACUGGGACUGAGACAAGGCCCAGACUCCUACGGGAGGCAGCAGUGGGGAAUAUUGCACAAUGGGCGAAAGCCUGAUGCAGCGACGCCGCGUGAGGGAUGACGGCCUUCGGGUUGUAAACCUCUUUCAGCAGGGACGAAGCGCAAGUGACGGUACCUGCAGAAGAAGCACCGGCUAACUACGUG
rnacentral:rRNA from 1 species